AGAACACAUUCAGUCAGGGCAGAUGUCUAUACAAAGUGGAGUGGAACAUCAGGAAAAGCUCCAUAUGGAUUCAUGGAGCUAAGGGAGGAGGCCAUUCCUGUCAUUCCAGUUUUAGAAGCUCCACAUCGAAGACGAGAGUGGCAUGUGGUGGGAUGAUGCCUGGGUGCCCAGUGGCACCAUAGGCAUAAUCUGGAGAUAUAGUCAGUUUGGCUCUCUGACCCACACUCAUCUGUGAAAAGAACAAGGAAGACAGACUCAGCUGGACACAUGCCCCAACUGUCUCUGUAAGAAAAAGAGCUGUUUACCUAGGUGUUCCUUGGCCAGGAUGGUAUUGACUUUCCAGUGACUUUGCAGCUGCCCAGGCAUCACCACCUCCUUGUGCAGGACUUGGAGGUUGGCAGUCAUAUUCCAUCACCCCUGCAUCUCACUCCAAGAAGCCCAAUGGCAGUUCAAAACCCCUCCUGACUCUCAGAACGGUCAGGCCCUCAACCUUUCUACGCAAGUCUUAAUGACUAAUGCUAGGCAGGUAACAUUCCAGAUGUCUCACCACCUAGUCCCCUUCAGUGAUCUGUCACUUAAAGGACAUGUUAAGUGCCAUCUAUGCUCUUCUUGAAAAAGGAAUACUCAACUUUGCUUUAAAAAAAUAUAUACACAGGAAGUAAUACUUGAGGGUAGUCUAUUUUUUCUGUAUUUUUUCUAUUUAUACUCUUUUACCCAUAUAGGAAAACUUCAAAAAAGACAAUAUGAUUUUCUGGGCUACAAAAUAGCAUUUACUGAAUACCAUUUGUGAAAAUAUUGAUAUGCCUACAACAGAAAACAUCUUUGGAAGGACAUACCAGACAUUUGCUGUGAGGAGAACAGUAUGGAUAGUGAGUGACCAGUAAGGAGAGAUUUCUACUUUAAAAAAUAUAUUUGUGUAUAUUUUCAGUUUCAAAUUAAAUACACAAAUAAGUAUAAAAUAUCUACUUUCUGAACAGUGAGCAGGUUCUCUGCAGUAUUUCCAUCCUUUGACUUAUCUCUGCUUUUGGUCUCCAUGUGUAUGUUCCCGACUUUCCAACUCCACCAGACAGAGGAUGAAUAAAGAGGAAGCUCCAGGCUGUGAAGCGUCUAGUCCUUGCUCCCCUCAGAAGCUGGGACAUGUUGGACCAAGGUGGUAAGGAUAGUGAGGUAUGGCUUUACCUUGUACAAUUCAAAACAAUCAUAUUCCUUGACUCAGCAAUUCUAUUUCCAGAAUAUUCUGCUAACAACUCAAAAGUCCAUCACAGAAGGAGUGGUUUCAUAGGCAUAUCCACACCAGGGAUUAGUCAUGAGAAAUCAUAUAGUGGUGGCUUUAAAUGUAUUAACAUGAAAAGAUGUCCAAGAUGGAUGAAAGAAAGCUGCCAAAAUGGUCCUUGUGGCAGGCAGGACUCCACGCCUGCAAACAUGUAAAACCAAAACAAUAUCAAAAGGAAAGGAAAAGGGUCACAAGUCAAUCUCCCCUUCUUCCUGUGUUUUUAACUCACUUGGUGAAAAAAUAUGCUAUGAAGAAUUUAAAAGAUAUUUUAUGUAGAUCUCAAACUACCCAGACUUCUCACAAAUGACAGGGCUGUGACUGACCCCAAAAUACCAGUUAAAGGGGGAGUCAGGCAUCUGUCCAAUACUCGACCAUGCCUCUCCAAGCCUGGGAAGUGAAGUAGGCCGAUAACACUAUCUCGAUGGCAGAUACAGCACUCAGUACAUACAACGCAGUGAUUGUUCCAAUGCUGGAGCAGUCACAGAAGAUGGGUUGUGGUAUGAACAAUGGCUGGCAUGAAAGAUGGGGGAUGGGCUACAGAUCCAAGAGCCAGACAGACUAGGGAGACAGAGGCAAAAAGCUAUGGUUGGCAAGGUUUCCCAAGGGAAGUAAACUACAAAGCCUCUUCCUCACACUGCCAACCCUCUGCCCUGCAGGAACAGAAACCCAGACACCUGGGAGUGGGAUGGCUUCAAGUUCCUGAAAGUUGAGCAGUUUAUUUGGAGAUAAAUCAGUGAUAUUUUAUAGAGGAAGUAGAGCAAUGUGUAUUCUGGAAAAGAGAGAGACAGAAAUCUGUCUUUUCAUCUUGGUUAAAUUUCUAAUUCUCCUGGGUGAGAGGGAAGCAGACUAAUUACCCAUCAUGCAGAGCCUAAUUAUAAAGUUCCUUGGGUCUCAGGUCACUGAAAAACAUCCCUUUACCUGGUUAGAGCCAAGAAAAAAUUCCUAGGUUUGAUGGAAAGACAGAAUCCAACUAAAAUUUGGCAACCCUGGGUCCCUAUUGUCUCCUGGGAAUUUUGUAGUGUUGGCAGAACAAAAGCUGUUUCCACAAAUGGGGAGGAAAGAGAUUAGGAAACACACUCAAGACAAACGAAAUGACUUUCUCCAUAAGUAUGACGUCUCAGAAGUGGUCUCACACAAUAUGGGUAAUAGAUAAAUACAAAUUAAAACCACUGAUAUCAUGUUUUACUCUUAUUGUCCAGAGGCCAAAGAUUUAACAAUAUACUGUGAUGCUGGGGCUGGGAGGAGAUUGCACCUUUAUAGCCUGGUGGUGGCAGUCCAGAGUGCAACCCCUAGAGAUGGUAACUUGACAAGACCUCUCAAAAACACUACACACAGCUUUUGAGCCCCUCAUCCCACUUCUGAGAGUAAGUCCUAUGGCAACAUGUGCACACGUGGAAAAUGAAGUCUGUACAAGGUGAGUUACUGCAGCAUUGUUUAUAAUAGCAAAAUACUGGAAAUGACUCAAAUACUCAUUAAUAGGGCACUAGCCAAGUAAAUUAUAGCACACUUACAUAAACGAAUACUAGGCAGCUGUAACAGAGCUUACUCCUCAUUUUUUCUUUCUUUUUUGAAAUGGAGUUUCGCUCUCGUCAUCCAGGCUGGAGCGCAAUGGCACAAUCUUGGCUCACUACAACCUCCGCCUGCUGGGUUCAAGUGAUUCUCCUGCCUCGGCCUCCCAAGUAGCUGGGAUUACAGGCACCUGCCACCACGCCCGGCUAAUUUUUGUAUUUUUAAUGGAGAUGGGGUUUCGCCAUGUUGGCCAGGCUGGUCUCGAACUCCGGACCUCAGGUGAUCCAUCCAUCUUGGCCUCCCAAAGUGCUGGGAUUACAGGAACUCCUGACCUCAGGUGAUCCACCCAUCUUGGCCUCCCAAAGUGCUGGAAUUACAGGCAUGAGCCACCGCGCCCAGCCUACUCCUCUUUUAUGUAGUGGUAUUGCAAGUGUCAAAAAUGCAUUAAGUGAAAAAGUAAACUGCAAAACAGUAUGUGUGUGAAAGCAAGAAAAAAGUUAUGUUUUUAUAUGUGCUUAAACCACAGUACAAGAAACAUUAACAACAGGAGCUUCUUGUGGGGGUAUUGGUCAGAUGGGAUGGCAUGAGGGUGAGACUUUUCACUUUUUUUAUUUUUGAACCGUAUAAAUAUGCCACCUAUAAAAAAAUAUAAAAGGUAAAUACUAGAAAGCAAAACAAAACAAAUGAGAGAGCAUACCUGG
rnacentral:lncRNA from 1 species